rnacentral:lncRNA from 1 species
GUGAUGUCUAUGAAUAGGUUUUCUAAAAAGAAGCUGGCAGCUUUCCAGCUCUCUUCUCAAGGACCAGUGUUUGUAAUUCCAGUGGCUAACACAUAAUUACAGUCUCAAGCUUGCUUUGAGAAGAGUGCUGGGCUUUCUUUGUGUCUGGUCUUCUCAACAGCUGUGUCAUCAGGCUGGCCUGCCUACUCACCGUUUCAAACACUUCAAGAAAAUAAAAUGGAUGUCUAGUAAAAGAAAAGAAACAUGUUUCCAUGCCCUUGGAAGGAGGAGGACUGGUCUCCAUUUUGCUCUUCAAGAAGAAAAUACUUAUGAGGCCAACACAGCUGCGGGACCCACUCACGCCAGUUCUGUUGUGAGUGUCCCUCUAGCUGGUGCAAGCUUAGUGCACAUGAAGUAUGUGUCCUGGGAAGACGCUGGGACACUUACUCUUUAAUGAGUGUCUUCACCAACACUGACCAGGUGCUGAUGGGAGAUGGUUUGCCUUCAAUACAAAUAAAAAAGGAAGAAUCUCUUUCUGCCCCUCGUGCUAAAGAGAUUGCUCUGCACAAACGAUCCCUGUUGUUUUCUAAGGAGAGACAGAAAGGAUGUGGAUUCUGACAGGAGAGAAAGUGAGCAAGAUCAUUUUAGAGCAUGGAACAUGAAUCCAGACUGUUAACACAAGGCACAGAGAAUCGACUUGAUGAAGCAUUUCUGGCAUGAGCGAGGUUCCGCAUCCAUUACCAACAGGGUUUCAUCAUCGAAAAUGUACGGUGUCGUUUCUAAUGGGAAACAUUUCCUGGCACCCGUGUGUACUCAGCUUCGGGCUCUCAUCAGAUAAAAAUGCUGUGACAAUCACAGCCUAAUUUGUCUUGAGUGUUUUGAGAGACUUAAUGAUAGUACUGCUUUUGAUCUUUGGGUGUAAAUGUAGUUUUUUUAAAAAAAUCAUCUGGGAGUUGUUUCCUCUAUGUUUUCAGUACCACCUAAAUACAUUUUUCGGGGAU